rnacentral:rRNA from 1 species
UGGCGACCGGCGCACGGGUGAGUAACACGUAUCCAACCUGCCGAUGACUCGGGGAUAGCCUUUCGAAAGAAAGAUUAAUACCCGAUGGCAUAGUUCUUCCGCAUGGUAGAACUAUUAAAGAAUUUCGGUCAUCGAUGGGGAUGCGUUCCAUUAGCUUGUUGGCGGGGUAACGGCCCACCAAGGCAUCGAUGGAUAGGGGUUCGUGAGAGGAAGGUCCCCCACCAUUGGAACUGAGACACGGUCCAAACUCCUACGGAAGGCAGCAG